rnacentral:rRNA from 1 species
UACGUAGGGUGCAAGCGUUGUCCGGAAUUAUUGGGCGUAAAGAGCUCGUAGGCGGUCUGUCACGUCGGCUGUGAAAUCCCGAGGCUCAACCGUGGGCUUGCAGCCGAUACGGGCAGGCUAGAGUUCGGUAGGGGAGACUGGAAUUCCUGGUGUAGCGGUGAAAUGCGCAGAUAUCAGGAGGAACACCGGUGGCGAAGGCGGGUCUCUGGGCCGAUACUGACGCUGAGGAGCGAAAGCGUGGGGAGCGAACAGG